GAUGAAGAACGCAGCGAAAUGCGAUAAGUAAUGUGAAUUGCAGAAUUCAGUGAAUCAUCGAAUCUUUGAACGCACAUUGCGCCCGCCAGUAUUCUGGCGGGCAUGCCUGUUCGAGCGUCAUUACAACCCUCAGGCCCCCGGGCCUGGCGUUGGGGAUCGGCGGAGCCCCCCGUGGGCACACGCCGUCCCCCAAAUGCAGUGGCGGUCCCGCCGCAGCUUCCAUCGCGUAGUAGCUAACACCUCGCGACUGGAGAGCGGCGCGGCCACGCCGUAAAACACCCAACUCUUCUGAAGUUGACCUCGAAUCAGGUAGGAAUACCCGCUGAACUUAAGCAUAUCAAUAAGCCGGAGGA
rnacentral:misc_RNA from 1 species